GCCCCAGUAGCUUAGCCUUUAAAGCGCCGGUCUUGUAAUCCGGAGACCGGAGGUUAAAAUCCUCCCUAUGGCC
rnacentral:tRNA from 1 species